rnacentral:rRNA from 1 species
UAUCUCUGUAGAGUCUGCAUAUCAAUAAGCGGAGGAAAAGAAACUAACUAGGAUUCCCUUAGUAACGGCGAGUGAAGCGGGAAGAGCUCAAAUUUGAAAUCUUCAAGGUUUUACCUUGACGAAUUGUAGUUUAAAGAAGUGUUUUCUGUUGGUGUUUUGGUAAAAGUUCUUUGGAAUAGGACAUCAUAGAGGGUGAGAAUCCCGUAUUUGACCAUUACUUCCAGCGUUGUGAUACACUUUCAAAGAGUCGGAUUGUUUGGGAAUGCAGUCCAAAAUGGGUGGUAAAUUUCAUCUAAAGCUAAAUAUUGGCGAGAGACCGAUAGCGAACAAGUACCGUGAGGGAAAGAUGAAAAGAACUUUGAAAAGAGAGUUAAACAGUACGUGAAAUUGUCAAAAGGGAAGCGUUUGACACCAGUGUUGUUUUCUCGAAAAUCAAUUAAAAAAGGCAGGAUUUUGUGUUGUAUUGACUUUAUCAGCUUUCUGCACCCUUUUCUUGUCUUUUUUAAUGCACUUUUCGUUUAACAAGUCAACAUCAAUUUCUUUUGUUGUAAAAGGGUCAUUGGAAGGUGGCUUUCUUUUCGGAGAAAGUGUUUAUAGCCUUUGGCCUCUGCAAUCGGAGAGAUUGAGGUCUGCAGCGUAGAUCCUUCGGGGUUAGAUACAUUUGUGCUAAGUUAUAGCCUUUCAUAGACAACUUGUUGACUAUGAUCAGUCAUGUAGCUUACUCGCUUAUGCUAUUUUACCUACGCUUAGGAUGUUGAAGUCAUCGUAUCGCGC